UUUCUCAUUUCAAAGAUUCUCAAUAUAUUAAGGCAAAAAUAGAACUCUCAUAUGUCUUCUUCUCUUUCUAGAGUUAGGAAGUAACAUGGUAGUACCUCAGGCAAAAAUGGCAUUAGUCCUAAGCUCCCCACUGUGGAAACCUGUCUUCAGGCAUCAGGUUUGUCCAGAGUUGGAAUUAGAAGCAAGCUGGCCCACUCACCCACACCGGAAUAGUAAGGAGGUUAAGAACAUUCCUGACGACCCCUGCCGCCAUUUUCUUCUUGAUUUUGCCCAGUCAGAGCCUGCUCAGAACUUCUGUGGGCCAUAUUCAGAACUUUUCAAAGGAUUCAUACAGUCAACAGUGGAGGCAAAAUAGCCCUGAGUGAAGAGUUUGCCCAGGUUUAUUCCUUGGCAGAUGGGAUUCGAAUAUGGAUGUUAGAGAUGAAGCAGAAGUCCCUGAUGAGCCUGGGGAAUGAAGCAGAAGAAAAACAUAGUUCAGAAGCUACUGAGGUGAACCCUGAGAGCCUGGCAAAAGAGUGUAUUGAGAAGAGUCUUCUAUU
rnacentral:sRNA from 1 species